AUGGGAACGCGAAGAACCUUACCUAGACUUGACAUCUCCUGAAUAGUGUAGAGAUACAUGAAGCCCUUCGGGGCAGGAAGACAGGUGGUGCAUGGUUGUCGUCAGCUCGUGUCGUGAGAUGUUGGGUUAAGUCCCGCAACGAGCGCAACCCUUAUUACUAGUUGCUACCAUUAAGUUGAGCACUCUAGUGAGACUGCCCGGGUUAACCGGGAGGAAGGCGGGGAUGACGUCAAAUCAUCAUGCCCCUUAUGUCUAGGGCAACACACGUGCUACAAUGGUGAGUACAGAUAGAUGCGAUACCGCAAGGUGGAGCCAAACUCUAAAACUCAUCCCAGUUCGGAUUGUAGGCUGAAACUCGCCUACAUGAAGCUGGAGUUGCUAGUAAUCGCGAAUCAGAAUGUCGCGGUGAAUACGUUCCCGGGUCUUGUACACACCG
rnacentral:rRNA from 1 species